AGCUAAAAAGCUAGCCCUCCCCAAAAAACAACAAACCUCUAUUAAUACCCCCUAAUGCACUAUUACCCCACUGAACCAAACCAUUUUCCCCUCUUAGUAUAGGCGAUAGAAAAGAGACACGUGAAGCAACAGAAAAAGUACCGCAAGGGAACGCUGAAAGAGCAAUGAAAAAACCCAGUAAAGCCCAAAAAAGCAAAGAUUCCAACUUGUACCUUUUGCAUCAUGAUUUAGCUAGUAUCCUCAAGCAAAGUGCACUUUAGUUUGGUACCCCGAAACUAAGUGAGCUACUCCAAGACAGCCUGUUAGUAGGGCAAACCCGUCUCUGUGGCAAAAGAGUGGGAAGAACUUUGAGUAGAGGUGACAGACCUAUCGAACUUAGUUAUAGCUGGUUGCCUGAAAAAUGGAUAAAAGUUCAGCCUCCCGGCUUCUAUCCUCCCCAAAACUUAAUCAUCCUCAGACACCUUAAGAAACCGAGAGAGUUAGUCAAAGGGGGUACAGCCCCUUUGACACAAGACACAACUUUGACAGAAGGCUAAAGAUCAGAUUUGUUUACCAAAGGUAAGACGUUUACAGUGGGCUUGGAAGCAGCCACCUUAGCAAAAAGCGUUAAAGCUUAAACAAACAAUACUAUCCUCCCUAUUUUGAUAACCCAAUCUUAAGCCCCUACCCAUAUCAGGCCGUUCCAUGCCAACAUGGAAGUGACCAUGCUAAUAUGAGUAAUAAGAGAGCCAAUAUCUCUCUCCUUGCACACGUGUAACUCGGAACGGACCAACCACCGAAUCUUAACGGCCCCAAAGAAAGAGGGAAUUGAAUACCGAACUAGACAACUAGAAAAUCAUCCUACAAAUCAACCGUUAACCCAACACUGGUGUGCCCCAAAGGAAAGACCAAAAGAAAGAGAAGGAACUCGGCAAACAAAUUAUAAGCCUCGCCUGUUUACCAAAAACAUCGCCUCUUGUAAAACUUACAAAUAAGAGGUCCCGCCUGCCCUGUGACUAUACGUUUAACGGCCGCGGUAUUUUGACCGUGCGAAGGUAGCGCAAUCACUUGUCUUUUAAAUGGAGACCUGUAUGAAUGGCAUAACGAGGGCUUAACUGUCUCCUCUUUCAAGUCAAUGAAAUUGAUCCCCCCGUGCAGAAGCGGGGAUAAACCCAUAAGACGAGAAGACCCUAUGGAGCUUUAGACACCAAGACGGCCCAUGUAAAUUACCCUAAAAUAAAAAACUAAACAAUAUUGCCCCCCGUCCUGACGUCUUUGGUUGGGGCGACCGCGGAGUAAAACCAAACCUCCACGUGGACUGGGAGCACCCUCCUCCUGAAAAUAAGAGCUUCAGCUCUAGUAUAACAGAACUUCUGACCUAUUAGAUCCGGCUAACGCCGAUCAACGGACCGAGUUACCCUAGGGAUAACAGCGCAAUCCCCUUUAAGAGCCCAUAUCGACGAGGGGGUUUACGACCUCGAUGUUGGAUCAGGACAUCCUAAUGGUGUAACCGUUAUUAAGGGUUCGUUUGUUCAACGAUUAAAGUCCUACGUGAUCUGAGUUCAGACCGGAGUAAUCCAGGUCAGUUUCUAUCUAUGAUUUGAUUUUCUCCAGUACGAAAGGACCGGGAAGAAAGGGCCCCUACUUCCAACACGCCCCACCUUGACCUAAUGAAAACAACUAAAAUAGACAAAAAGGCAUCUCCUCUCCCCCGAGACAAUGGCGA
rnacentral:rRNA from 1 species